AGAAUCAACGCUGGCGGCGUGCCUAACACAUGCAAGUCGCACGAGAAAGGGUAGCAAUACCUGAGUAAAGUGGCGCACGGGUGAGUAACACGUGAAUUAUCUACCUCCGAGUGGGGAAUAACUGAGAGAAAUCUUAGCUAAUACCGCAUAACACUUACGAGUCAAAGCAGCAAUGCGCUUGGAGAGGAGUUCGCGGCCGAUUAGUUAGUUGGCGGGGUAAUGGCCCACCAAGACGAUGAUCGGUAUCCGGCCUGAGAGGGCGCACGGACACACUGGAACUGAAACACGGUCCAGACUCCUACGGGAGGCAGCAGUGGGGAAUUUUGCGCAAUGGGGGAAACCCUGACGCAGCAACGCCGCGUGGAGGAUGAAAUCCCUUGGGAUGUAAACUCCUUUCGAUAGGGAAGAUAAUGACGGUACCUAUAGAAGAAGCCCCGGCUAACUUCGUGCCAGCAGCCGC
rnacentral:rRNA from 1 species